UGAUUAUGGCUCAGGAUGAACGCUAGCGGCAGGCUUAAUACAUGCAAGUCGAGGGGCAGCAGGGGUAGCAAUACUCGCUGGCGACCGGCAAACGGGUGAGGAACAUGUACGCAACCUUCCUUUAACUGGAGGAUAGCCCCUCGAAAGAGGGAUUAAUACUCCGUAACAUAAUGAAGUGGCAUCACUUUAUUAUUAUAGCUCCGGCGGUUAAAGAUGGGCGUGCAACUGAUUAGAUAGUUGGCGGGGUAACGGCCCACCAAGUCUGCGAUCAGUAACUGGUGUGAGAGCACGACCAGUCACACGGGCACUGAGACACGGGCCCGACUCCUACGGGAGGCAGCAGUAAGGAAUAUUGGUCAAUGGACGCAAGUCUGAACCAGCCAUGCCGCGUGGAGGAUUAAGGCCCUCUGGGUUGUAAACUCCUUUUAUCUGGGAAGAAAUGUGUUUUUUCUAAGACACUUGACGGUACCAGAGGAAUAAGCACCGGCUAACUCCGUGCCAGCAGCCGCGGUAAUACGGAGGGUGCAAGCGUUAUCCGGAUUCACUGGGUUUAAAGGGUGCGUAGGCGGGCAGAUAAGUCAGUGGUGAAAUCUUCGAGCUUAACUCGGAAACUGCCGUUGAUACUAUUUGUCUUGAAUAUUGUGGAGGUAAGCGGAAUAUGUCAUGUAUCGGUGAAAUGCUUAUAUAUGACAUAGAACACCAAUUGCGAAGGCAGCUUACUACACAAUGAUUGACGCUCACGCACGAAAGCGUGGGGAUCAAACAGGAUUAGAUACCCUGGUAGUCCACGCCCUAAACGAUGAUUACUCUACAUACGCUAUAUACUGUGUGUGUCUGAGCGAAAGCAUUAAGUAAUCCACCUGGGAAGUACGAUCGCAAGAUUGAAACUCAAAUGAAUUGACGG
rnacentral:rRNA from 1 species